CCUACGGGUGGCUGCAGUAGGGAAUAUUGCUUAAUCUGCGAAAGCGGGAAGCAGCAACGCCGCGUGUGCGAUGAAGGCCUUCGGGUUGUAAAGCACUUUUUGGAGGGAAGAGAAAGGACGGUACCUCCAGAAUAAGCCUCGGCUAACUACGUGCCAGCAGCCGCGGUAACACGUAGGAGGCGAGCGUUAUUCGGAUUUACUGGGCGUAAAGCGCGUGCAGGUGGUUUGGUGAGUUGGAUGUGAAAGCUCCUGGCUUAACUGGGAGAGGUCGUUCAAUACUGCCAGACUUGAGAGUGGUAGAGGGAGGUGGAAUUCCGGGUGUAGUGGUGAAAUGCGUAGAUAUCCGGAGGAACACCAGUGGCGAAAGCGGCCUCCUGGCCCAUUUCUGACGCUCAGACGCGAAAGCUAAGGUAGCAAACGGGAUUAGAUACCCUUGUAGUC
rnacentral:rRNA from 1 species